AGCGGGAUGGAGCAGUCUGGUAGCUCGUCGGGAUCAUACCCCGAAGGUCGUAGGUUCAAAUCCUGCUCGCGCAA
rnacentral:tRNA from 1 species